rnacentral:rRNA from 1 species
GAACGUCGUGAGACAGUUCGGUCCCUAUCCGUCGUGGGCGUAGGAAAUUUGAGAGGAGCUGUCCUUAGUACGAGAGGACCGGGAUGGACAUACCUCUGGUGUACCAGUUGUCGUGCCAACGGCAUAGCUGGGUAGCUAUGUGUGGACGGGAUAAGUGCUGAAAGCAUCUAAGCAUGAAGCCCCCCUCAAGAUGAGAUUUCCCAACUUCGGUUAUAAGAUCCCUCAAAGAUGAUGAGGUUAAUAGGUUCGAGGUGGAAGCAUGGUGACAUGUGGAGCUGACGAAUACUAAUCGAUCGAAGACUUAAUCAAAA